CCUGGGAAAGGAAUCACAAGAAAGAAUGAAGUGGGAGAUUAGGAGGAGUCCCCUCACACCCCCACCCACCCCAGUGAGCGACAGGGGACGCCCGUGGUAGCCUGGUGAGGGAGGGCGUGAGGGGGUCCACAGAGGUUCUCUUCCUAUCUAUCUAGGAGCCCUGUGCAGAAUCAUCAGUAAUGGCUAAGACUUCCGGCUAAGCAGUGCCCUCCUCCUGAGUGUCUGACGUCAGCUCUCAAGUGCUCCUGCGAAUUGAGACGAAAAAGCUGGCAUUCACGUCCUCGCAGCGACCCAAACCUAGAGUCACCUCCAUCUGCCGCCUGGACUGCCGGCAGCAUCCACCCUUGUUCCUUUAAUUCAUUUUCCACCACAGACGGGAAGGAUCUUUCUAGCACGCCGUUUGUCACGUCCUUCUUCUGCCUGAAACUCUUCCAUGAUCUCAGCUUUCCCUUUCAGAAUGAUCUUAAAGACUCUGGAGGACCCUCAGGCAGUUCAUGAAGCCCGAGGCUUGUUGUUAACACUGUGACUGUCUCCAGUGAACUCCUGGCUGGGCCCUGCUGACACUCUCUGCCUCCUUUUCACUGCCUUGUCCGGGAGUCUCUCCAGUCUCAUCUCUGACUCUGGGCCCUUCACCCCCUUUCUGCCAGCAGCGCCAGUUACCUCAGUUCUGGCGUGGUCUGCUUGCAGAGAGAGCCUCGGGUCCCACAGGUUGAGGGCUGGCUCCUUCAAGACCGCCCCUCCCUCCAUGCAAGGUUGUUACUCAGCUUUUCUGACUGGCUAUAUAGGUCAGAGGUUCUAACAACCCCUGCUUUGGGUUCAAUGAACUUGCUGGAGGGGCUCGGAGAACUCAGAGAAACAAUCUACUGACUAGAUUCCCGGUUUAUAAUGAAGGAUAUUAAGGGAACAGCCAGAUGGGAGAGAGGCACAGGGCAGAGAAUGGAGAAAGGGCUCUGUGCUUCCUCUAUGCGUUCACCAACCCAAAAGCUCCCUGAACAUGUCCUUUUGCGUUUUUAUGAAGGCUUCAUUACAUAGGCAUGAUUGAUUAGGUCACUGGCCUUUGGCAACUGACUCAAUCUCCAGCUCCUCUCCCUGACCCAGAGGUCAGUGGAGGGACUGAAAGUUCCAACCGUCCAAUCACACGGUUGGCUCCCUUGGUGACCAGCCUCCAACCUUAGGUGAACUUGGUGCUUUCCAAAAGUCGCCUCAUUAACAUGACAAUGACACCUUUAUUGCUUUCACCCCCUAGGAAUUUCCAAGGGUUUUAGGAGCUCUGUGCCAGGAACAGGGACAAAGACCAAAUUUAUAUUUAUCGAUAAAUCACGACAUCACAGUCUUCCAUUGUGGGAAACCUCAUUCCUAGGGCUCCUCUUUCCUGUCCAUGUGGGGCUGAGAUCCAGAUAUUGUCUGGCAGGUCCGGAGUCCCGACGGUCAUCUGCUACCCUGGGUGGCCACGCUGUCCUGCUCUCCCCUUUCAGACCACCCCAGGGCAGCUGAGCCGGAGAGGAGGCCACCGUGUUCUUCUGUCACCUGCCCCCGCGGCUUCCCAAGCUAUCCCUCUGCUCUGCGUGGCCAGGAGUGGAGACGGCCGAGGAGCAAGACACCAGAUGCUGCUGCUAGGGUUUGGCAUUGGAGAGGGUGGCUCACCUCGCCUGGCCCCCGGCGGGGGGAGCGCCGGGGAGGGACCUGCUUCUGAAGAACACAGAUAGAAAGGUCCAGCGAGGAACACUCUUCACGCAGCAAUUAACAGGCCAGAGUGGCACCGAGUGGAUGUUGCAGUCUUGUGGCUGGGGCAUGGUGCCAUCAGGGCUUGGGCUCCAGAAGGGGCCAGCCGCACGUUCCCACAAAAGGUUGAGCAGCUGGCAUUACUGGUGGAAAAGCCAGUUUUCGAAGGGUGAUUUCUUGGCUCCUCUAAUUAAUGAGAAGCAGAGAUUUCAGGAUGGCAAAUAGAACUCCCUCUGGCCGGAUGCACAGAUUUUUGCUCUUUUGCUUCCUUGUUUUUCAUGCCUCUAAGUCUUUGCGAAAGACUAAAUAAUAAUCAUAAUAAUCAUAAGUCUUUGGGGAGGCUCCAGUUUUCAAAUGGAAUAGAAACACACAGGGCUGAACGGAGGGGCUCCGAGAGGCUCCCAGGCCCCACGCCUUGCCCUGGAAAGCACGGAGCCCAGACCCUCUCUCCCUUGGCCUCCCUGCUAUAAUCUUCCUUAAACACAGACUGGAUGUUUUCAGUGCUCUCAGAAAUUCCUAAAGAGUCUCCACUUCCCUGUGGAGUAGGAUCCAAAUGCCCCCCACUGGGAUCCAAAAGUCCUCUGUGGUUCCCCAUUCUUCCAGGUCAAGCUAAGCCCCGUUUCUAAAAAAAAAAAAAAAAAAUUUCCUAGGGGUACACGAUGUUCUCAUCUUCAAACCCUUUGUGGGCCGGGUGGGGACCCAGGGUGCCGUGUCCCUUCUUGUGCCAGAGUGGAGGGCUCAGCCCAGCCCAGCAGGCAGCCUUGCUCUGGAGCCCCUGGCUCUCCUACCAGAGAUCUCAGAGUCAAAGAGUGUCAGAGCUUGGUCUAACCUGGCCACUUUAUGAAGGAGAUAGUGAGGUCCAGAGAGGGCCAGGGGCAAACUCCACAUCACCCAGCCAGCUACUGGCUGUGUCUCCCGCUGCCAUGCUGGGAGCCUGGGGUUACUCUCCUAAGUUCCCCUUGGUUGAUUAUUCUCCCCUGGCUGAUUAUUCUCCACUGUGUCUGACGGUGGCUUGUAAGGGGAAGUGAAUUCAGCGUGAACAGGUAUUAUUGGAAGAGAGAUGCAUGGAGAAUGGGUGAUGGGUUGUUGGUUUUUUGGGUUUCUUUUUUGUUAUUUUUUUCCAUUUCCUUGGUGACCUGUGCCCCAUUCGUUCUCACUGUUUGCAGAGGUGGUCCCAUCAUCAUCCCGAGGCCUGGCUGGGGCUGGAUGGGCUGGCCUCCCACGGUGGCCCAGACUGCUGCUCCUCGUGAUCUCAGGGGUCUGAGUUUAUUGUGGAGGCUGCUGGGCUGGUGGAUUCCUUCUUCCCUGUGCUCACCCCAGAGGAGUUGCCACAAAGUGCUGAUCUUCUGGUCUCAUUGAAAGUAACACAUUCGCGUGAACGGGGCCCCGGGAGAGCAUUUCCACGCCCAAGUCGCCGAAGCGUUUGCGGAAAGCUGCGGGCCAGGUCAACUGUUCCCAUUUUGUGAUACUGCAAGUGACACUUCGGUGUCUGGGAAUGCAUUUUUCUGGUGUAUCAGUUCCUCUAGAGAAGGAUCGUCUAUCCAUUGGCUUGGGAUUUCCCCAUUUGUGGGCGUUCUGGAGCCAGGAAGGAGCAGAGGGCGAGCUGUCUCACCUGUCAGUAUGCAAGCCUUCAUUCAAUUCCCUUACAUCCAGUCCUGGACCCUCCACCACCACCUCCUCAAUACCUGCCGACUGUGAAGAAAGUGAGGUCUGGAUAAAGUAAGUGAUUUAUUCAACAGCUCUUCUGAGAAAAUUAGUGGCAGAGCAAGGUCAUGUGCCCACAACCACUUUUAUGAUUCUACUUUACCACUUACUUGGAUGUUUUGAGGAACAAAAGAUCACCUUUGACCCAUACCUGGAACCCUGAUCUCUGAUCUCCUACUUUUGGAAUCAACCCACUUCGAGAUGCAGAGCCCAGACUUCUUAAAGUUCUGUGGUCUAUGGAUUCACCAUACUCUAAGUGUUGGUUUCCCACUUCUGUCCCUCCUCUCUGGAUACUGACUGCCUCUAGAUCCAACCUGGGUAUGUAUAUGGGAUAUAUACCAUGAUGGAUCCUGAAGAAAUGUGAAGACAUGGGAAGUUGGGAGUGUCUCCCUAUAAGACAAAUGCUCUUGGAUGGAUCCAACCAGCAGGCAUUUGCUGAAGGCUACCUGCACACACAAAGCUAAAAUACAUGGUGAUACCAAA